GACGAACGCUGGCGGCGUGCCUAAUACAUGCAAGUAGAACGCUGAAGGAGGAGCUUGCUUCUCCGGAUGAGUUGCGAACGGGUGAGUAACGCGUAGGUAACCUGCCUGGUAGCGGGGGAUAACUAUUGGAAACGAUAGCUAAUACCGCAUAACAGUAGAUGUUGCAUGACAUUUGCUUAAAAGGUGCAAUUGCAUCACUACCAGAUGGACCUGCGUUGUAUUAGCUAGUUGGUGAGGUAACGGCUCACCAGGGCGACGAUACAUAGCCGACCUGAGAGGGGGAUCGGCCACACUGGGACUGAGACACGGCCCAGACUCCUACGGGAGGCAGCAGUAGGGAAUCUUCGGCAAUGGACGGAAGUCUGACCGAGCAACGCCGCGUGAGUGAAGAAGGUUUUCGGAUCGUAAAGCUCUGUUGUAAGAGAAGAACGAGUGUGAGAGUGGAAAGUUCACACUGUGACGGUAUCUUACCAGAAAGGGACGGCUAACUACGUG
rnacentral:rRNA from 1 species